UACGGAAGGCAGCAGUGGGGAAUAUUGCACAAUGGGCGAAAGCCUGAUGCAGCUAUGCCGCGUGUAUGAAGAAGGCCUUAGGGUUGUAAAGUACUUUCAUCGGGGAGGAAAAAACAAAACUAAUAAUUUUAUUUCUUGACGUUACCCGAAAAAGAAGCACCGGCUAACUCCGUGCCAGCAGCCGCGGUAAUACGGAGGGUGCUAGCGUUAAUCAGAAUUACUGGGCGUAAAGAGCACGUAGGUGGUUUUUUUAAGUCAGAUGUGAAAUCCCUGGGCUUAACCUAGGAACUGCAUUUUGAAACUGAAAUACUAGAGUAUCGUAGAGGGAGGUAGAAUUCUAGGUGUAGCGGUGAAAUGCGUAGAUAUCUGGAGGAAUACCUGUGGCGAAAGCGGCCUCCUAAACGAAUACUGACACUGAGGUGCGAAAGCGUGGGGAGCAAAACAGGGAUUAGAUACC
rnacentral:rRNA from 1 species